rnacentral:rRNA from 1 species
AUUGAACGCUGGCGGCAGGCCUAACACAUGCAAGUCGAGCGGAUGAAGGGAGCUUGCUCCUGGAUUCAGCGGCGGACGGGUGAGUAAUGCCUAGGAAUCUGCCUGGUAGUGGGGGAUAACGUCCGGAAACGGGCGCUAAUACCGCAUACGUCCUGAGGGAGAAAGUGGGGGAUCUUCGGACCUCACGCUAUCAGAUGAGCCUAGGUCGGGUUAGCUAGUUGGUGGGGUAAAGGCCUACCAAGGCGACGAUCCGUAACUGGUCUGAGAGGAUGAUCAGUCACACUGGAACUGAGACACGGUCCAGACUCCUACGGGAGGCAGCAGUGGGGAAUAUUGGACAAUGGGCGGAAGCCUGAUCCAGCCAUGCCGCGUGUGUGAAGAAGGUCUUCGGAUUGUAAAGCACUUUAAGUUGGGAGGAAGGGCAGUAAGUUAAUACCUUGCUGUUUUGACGUUACCAACAGAAUAAGCACCGGCUAACUUCGUG